AUUGAACGCUGGCGGCAGGCCUAACACAUGCAAGUCGAGCGAGUGGCGAACGGGUGAGUAACAUAUCGGAACGUACCGAGUAAUGGGGGAUAACUAAUCGAAAGAUUAGCUAAUACCGCAUAUUCUUCGCUCGGCCGAUAUCUGAUUAGCUGGUUGGUGGGGUAAAGGCCUACCAAGGCCACGAUCAGUAGCGGGUCUGAGAGGUUGAUCCGCCACAGUGGGACUGAGACACGGCCCAGACUCCUACGGGAGGCAGCAGUGGGGAAUUUUGGACAAGGGGCGCAAGCCGGAUCCAGCCAGGCCGCGUGUCUGAAGAAGGCCUUCGGGUUGUAAAGGACUUUUGUAAGGGAAGCGGUAACUGAAGAAUAAGCACCGGCUAACUACGUGCCAGCAGCCGCGGUAAUAC
rnacentral:rRNA from 1 species